CUAGAACCCCUACGUACACACACACACACACACACGGUCGACAGACUAGAACCCCUACGUACACACACACACACACACACACGGUCGACAGACUAGAACCCCUACGUACACACACACACACACACACCGGUCGACAGACUAGAACCCCUACGUACACACACACACACACGGUCGACAGACUAGAACCCCUACGCACACACACACACACGGUCGACAGACUAGAACCCCUACGUACACACACACACACGGUCGACAGACUAGAACCCCUACGUACACACACACACACACACACACACGGUCGACAGACUAGAACCCCUACGUACACACACACACACACACACACACACACACGGUCGACAGACUAGAACCCCUACGUACACACACACACACACACACACACACGGUCGACAGACUAGAACCCCUACGUACACACACACACACACACACACACGGUCGACAGACUAGAACCCCUACGUACACACACACACACACACGGUCGACAGACUAGAACCCCUACGUACACACACACACACACGGUCGACAGACUAGAACCCCUACGUACACACACACACACACACACACACACACACACACACACACACGGUCGACAGACUAGAACCCCUACGUACACACAUAAUGGUGUGAUUUGACCUACAACUAAGACAGACUAUUGAAUGCACUCAAAUUCAAUAGCGUGGUUUCCACUACCACAUUAUCUCCUGGCUAGUCAGUGCUUGAUACCGCCAGAGUUGUUCGAAAUUGAGAAACUCAACAUGCGAUUACUUUCCGCAAAUACCUUGUUGACAAAUUUGCGACUCCCUUUGAUGAUGGUGUGAAAUUUUGUCAUGGGCGUUACAGGAAGUAAUUUCAUGUUGUGGAGUCGCUCAGUUUUAAACGGCAAUAGAGCUGUACUGGACACCAUAUUGGCAAUAUUAGCAAAAUGCUCAUUCAAAAAACAGUACCCUAAUGCAGGGGUAUUCAAAUCUGAGCCUGGAGGUCCAGAGUAGUGCUGCUCUAUCGGUUGACUAGAUGGGAUGCAGCGAAUGUCAGAAGGGACUUUUCCUUGCAGGUUAGGAGAACUUACGCAGCAGGUUAUACAAAUGUACGUAGCAGGUUAGGAGACUGAGGUUAAGGUUAGCGAAAAUGCUUUCUUAACCUGCUACAAAAAUCACUUUGUAUCAAAGUGUUGUGAAAAGACUGUGUCCCUGUAGCCAUGACCUGUUCUACCUGGGAAAUGAAUUGCACCCACAUGGUGUCCCAUGUCUAAAUCAGUGCCUGAUUAGAGGGAAAUAAUGAAAAACAGCAGUGGAACUGGCUUCAAGGUCCAGAUUUGAAUUUGCCUGCAGCUAGUGAAGUGGGUUGAUAUGAUCGACAGGACCUAAAGACCUAUACAUUCCCUAUUAAUUAUAAUAUUUAUUCACGUAAGGUAUAUGCUUCAUUACACGUCAUGUUAGUUUGACUAGUUACAUCAAUAAACCAAGACUGAGACCUAUUAUUUGUUUUACAAUGAUAUGCAGACAUUAUUUUUUUGUUUUGUUUAAGCUUUAACUUAUUUGUUUUUAAUUGUGACAAUGCAUUGUUUUUUUCUGGUCCAAUGUCUCUUAUUUGUGCAUGUUUAUCAAGACUAGCUCACCCUGUAGAAAAUGUUCUGUCCAAAGGGACAUUUUGUUAGUUUUAUACCUGUUAAUAUUAUGGAUAAAAUAAACUAGCUUUAUUUGACUUAGGCUACACAUGGUGUAUUUUUGUUUAAGGGGUAGUAUGCAUUCACAAAGCAUGCAGCUUCUUCUUCUUCUGGGGUAUAAAAAUGGCAAUGAUACACACUUUUUUUUAUCUCAGAAGUUGUUCACCAUUUACAAUUACUCCUGAUUUACUGACAGUGAAGUAGUGAACAUUUGAACAACCUGGUGCAAAGGCUACCAGUCCAAAAAUUAUAGCUGUUGCUUGGUUUGUAAGUUUUAUUCAGCACUUUUUUUUUCAGUAACAUUUUUGUAUAUCACUGCAGGGAG
rnacentral:lncRNA from 1 species